CAUUUUGAUAUUGAUUUUGGCCUAAGAAAAUUUUUAAUUCAUUAUUUAUGUAAUUAUCAAAUUAAAUAAAUUUCGCUUUUCUGUGAAUAAACAUGAACAUGAAAUGAAUACUCGAAUAGGAACAAAUGCCUUAAAACUAAAUCAAUGUGUAGGUUUCAAAGCAAUAAUAAGGACGAUUCUAAACAAAUCGAAAGCGGUGGAUCUGGUAUUUAAAGUCUAUGGUCCCAGCCUAACACCUGAUACUGUGCCUAUAAUAGUGCUCCAUGGUUUCCUGGGCAGCAUGAGAAAUUGGCAGAGCAUGUGUAAUAGAAUAACCUCGCACACAAACAGAUCUGUGAUAGCAGUGGACGCUCGUAACCAUGGCGACAGCCCGCACGCUGAUUCCCAUAACUACCUCGACCUAGCAGCUGAUGUCUCUAAACUAAUAACAAAGUUAGCUAUUAAGAAAAGCAUCAUUAUCGGCCACAGCAUGGGAGGCAGAACUGCAAUGGUUUUAUCCUUGUCAGAGCCAUCCAAAAUAGCAAGUCAGGUCAUAGCUGAUAUAUCACCGGUCACGACCACAACUGGCUUAAAAGAUUUCUUUCCGAAGGUCUUAGAAGUAAUGGCUUCUGUCGACUUUAAAGGGAAAGAUUUGGUUAAUGCACAAAAGGAAGCCAAAAAUGUAAUACUGAAAAACGAUUUAUUCGAACAUCCAGAAAGCGUCUACUUCAUCUUAAUGAAUAUUGGGAGGUUACCUAAUAAUACUUACGGAUGGAAGUGCAAUGUUCCAACAUUAAAGAAGGAUUUUCAUCACAUCGCCGAUUUUCCUAAAGACGUUUUGAGUGGAAGAACUUUCGAGGGUCCUGUGCUAUUCAUCGGCGGUUCUGAAUCGAGCUUUAUUCCACCUGGAGACAUAACCGGGAUCAAACAGUUGUUUCCCAAAGCUGUUCUUCGCUACAUUCCAAAUGUCGGCCACAACGUGCAUGCGGAAGACCCAAAUGCUUUUUUUAAUAUGGUUGUACAAUUUUUAGCGGACGUUGAAAAGAGAUAAGCCCAAGCUUGGUGCUUUUAAGAUAUCUUCGAUCUAAUAAAGAAGUUCGCUGUCAACAAAGCCAUCCAAAAUAGCAAGGCAGAUCAUAAUAGAUAUAUCACCGGUCUCGACCUGCCAAAGCCUAAAAAAAUUCUUUCCGCAUGUCUUAGAAGUAAUGUCGGCCAUGGACUUUAAAGGGAAAGAUUUGGCUAGUGC
rnacentral:misc_RNA from 1 species